UGUGGGAGCGGGCUUGCCCGCGAUGACGGCGGCACAUUCACCAUUGAUGUGUCGGACAGAUCGCAAUCGCGGGCAAGCCCGCUCCCACA
rnacentral:misc_RNA from 1 species